UGAGAGGAAAGAAAGAAAGAUGUAUUCACAGAACAGCUAAUAGGCAGAACCCUAAGCCUACCAUGGUUUCUGGAUAAUGAGUUGUCAGCCGUGAUAGUAAUACUAGGUCUGAAGUGGAAUUAUUGAGCUGAUUGUGGGAAACCUCUUGUAUCUACAUUCUGCCAGAGUCCAAGUAACAAGCUGCAAACAAGGCAAAAGUCGAGCUGAACCCACGAAAAGGUGGAGAAUUUGCACCCUCAUUUCUCAUCUGGAGAUGACCCACAAAACUAGAGCAAUCUGGCAACCAUAACUACUGCUGAAUUGAGUAGAAGCAUGAACCCUAGAUGAGAUUCAACAGGUGGAUCCUGGGCAUAGAAACUGCCUUAGAAUCAAAGGAUUCUGAAUUCACCAGGAAUUUAUUAUGAAUAUUAGAAGUGAAUUGAGCUCACAGUCCUUCAGCAACAAUGACAACACUCCAGGUUACUAUAGAAAGUGAUACAUGCAGCUCUCACUAAACAUUUUUGAUCCUGAAAAUACACUUGGUGGCAAACCAAAAUGGCUUCAGUAUAAUUGGAAUAACAACAACAACAACAGCAACAACAAUAUGGUUUUGGACUCAAGGUGGCUUACAACACUUAAAAGAGACAUCGCUGAAAAAUAUACUAAAAACAAGCUUAGCAAUCCAUAAAAUUAAGAGUUAUUUUAAAAAAAAUAGACCAAAACUAGAACAGAUCGGCAGUACAGUACAAUUCCACAAGGCCUGGUUCCCUUGAGCAGUGAGUCUUCAAAAGGGCUGCUGAAAUAAUAAUAAUAAAAAGUCUUAACUUGCCUGCAGAAAGAUUGC